rnacentral:rRNA from 1 species
AUUGGACGCUGGCGGCAUGCCUUACACAUGCAAGUCGAACGGUAACGGGCCUUCGGGUGCCGACGAGUGGCGAACGGGUGCGUAAUACAUCGGAACGUGCCCGAUCGUGGGGGAUAACGAGGCGAAAGCUUUGCUAAUACCGCAUACGAUCUACGGAUGAAAGCAGGGGACCGCAAGGCCUUGCGCGGACGGAGCGGCCGAUGGCAGAUUAGGUAGUUGGUGGGAUAAAAGCUUACCAAGCCGACGAUCUGUAGCUGGUCUGAGAGGAUGAUCCGCCACACUGGGACUGAGACACGGCCCAGACUCCUACGGGAGGCAGCAGUGGGGAAUUUUGGACAAUGGGCGCAAGCCUGAUCCAGCCAUGCCGCGUGCAGGAUGAAGGCCUUCGGGUUGUAAACUGCUUUUGUACGGAACGAAAAGCCUUCUUUUAAUACAGGAGGGUCAUGACGGUACCGUAAGAAUAAGCACCGGCUAACUACGUG